rnacentral:sRNA from 1 species
GGGUGAUCUGGUUGGAACAUCUGUCACCCCAUUGAUUGUCAGAGUUGAUUCAGCUAAUCUGGCUGGCUGGGCAGGUUCCCCCAUGCUCAGUGGGAGAUAACAACCACCUCAAAUAGAAGGACUGUACCAUUCUUCAAUCAAGGGUAUAUAAUAGCAUACAGACUCGUAGGGUCUGUGGUGGAAGAAAGAUGAACGUAAAUAUAUAAAUUGUACAUAAGCCUAUUU